AGAGUUUGAUCCUGGCUCAGAAUCAACGCUGGCGGCGCGCCUAACACAUGCAAGUCGAACGAGAAAGUGGAGCAAUCCAUGAGUACAGUGGCGUACGGGUGAGUAACACGUGGGUAAUCUACCCUUUGGUGGGGAAUAACUCUGGGAAACCGGAGCUAAUACCGCAUAAUCCUGAGAAGGAAAAGCAGCAAUGCGCCGAAGGAGGAGCCCGCGGCCGAUUAGCCAGUUGGUAGGGUAAUGGCCUACCAAAGCAAAGAUCGGUAGCCGGCCUGAGAGGGCACACGGCCACACUGGCACUGAAACACGGGCCAGACUCCUACGGGAGGCAGCAGUGGGGAAUCUUGCACAAUGGGGGAAACCCUGAUGCAGCGACGCCGCGUGAGCGAUGAAGCCCUUCGGGGUGUAAAGCUCUUUCGGCAGGGAAGAUUAUGACGGUACCUGCAGAAGCAGCUGCGGCUAACUACGUGCCAGCAGCCGCGGUAAUACGUAGGCAGCAAGCGUUGUUCGGAGUUACUGGGCGUAAAGGGUGUGUAGGCGGCUCCCUAAGUUUGGUGUGAAAUCUCCCGGCUCAACCGGGAGGGUGCGCCGAAUACUGAGGGGCUAGAGUGCGGGAGAGGAAAGUGGAAUUCCUGGUGUAGCGGUGAAAUGCGUAGAUAUCAGGAGGAACACCGGUGGUGUAGACGGCUUUCUGGACCGUAACUGACGCUGAGACACGAAAGCGUGGGUAGCAAACAGGAUUAGAUACCCUGGUAGUCCACGCCCUAAACGAUGCAUAUUUGGUGUGGGUCAUUCAGUUGAUCCGUGCCGGAGCUAACGCGUUAAAUAUGCCGCCUGGGGAGUACAGUCGCAAGGCUGAAACUCAAAGGAAUUGACGGGGGCCCGCACAAGUGGUGGAGCAUGUGGUUCAAUUCGACGCAACGCGAAGAACCUUACCUGGGCUCGACGGCCGGUCAACGCCGGUGGAAACAUCGGUACCCCGCAAGGGGGUCCCGGUCGAGGUGCUGCAUGGCUGUC
rnacentral:rRNA from 1 species